rnacentral:rRNA from 1 species
GCGAACGCUGGCGGCAGGCCUAACACAUGCAAGUCGAACGAACUCUUCGGAGUUAGUGGCGGACGGGUGAGUCACACGUGGGAACGUGCCUUUUGGUUCUGAAUAACUCAGGGAAACUUGUGCUAAUACCGAAUGUGCCCUUCGGGGGAAAGAUUUAUCGCCAUUAGAGCGGCCCGCGUCUGAUUAGCUAGUUGGUGAGGUAACGGCUCACCAAGGCGACGAUCAGUAGCUGGUCUGAGAGGAUGACCAGCCACACUGGGACUGAGACACGGCCCAGACUCCUACGGGAGGCAGCAGUGGGGAAUCUUGCGCAAUGGGCGAAAGCCUGACGCAGCCAUGCCGCGUGAAUGAUGAAGGUCUUAGGAUUGUAAAAUUCUUUCACCGGGGACGAUAAUGACGGUACCCGGAGAAGAAGCCCCGGCUAACUUCGUG